rnacentral:rRNA from 1 species
AACGUAGGACACAAGCGUUAUCCGGAGUUACUGGGCGUAAAGGGCGUUUAGGCGGGUGAUUAAGUUCGCUAUGAAAGCGCCAGGCUAAACCUGGCGAGGCUGGCGGAUACUGGUCAUCUGGAGUGAGUCAGAGGAAGGUAGAAUUCCGCGUGUAGUGGUGAAAUGCGUAGAGAUGCGGAGGAAUACCAGUGGCGAAGGCGGCCUUCUGGGGACUCAACUGACGCUGAAGCGCGAAAGCGUGGGGAGCGAACAGG